rnacentral:tRNA from 1 species
GGUAUAGCCAAGUUGGUAAGGCAACGGGUUUUGAUCCCGUCUUUCGUAGGUUCGAGUCCUGCUACC